rnacentral:rRNA from 1 species
AACGAACGCUGGCGGCAUGCCUAACACAUGCAAGUCGAACGAGACCUUCGGGUCUAGUGGCGCACGGGUGCGUAACGCGUGGGAACCUGCCUUUAGGUUCGGAAUAACUCAGAGAAAUUUGAGCUAAUACCGGAUGAUGUCUUCGGACCAAAGAUUUAUCGCCUUUAGAUGGGCCCGCGUUGGAUUAGCUAGUUGGUGGGGUAAAGGCCUACCAAGGCGACGAUCCAUAGCUGGUCUGAGAGGAUGAUCAGCCACACUGGGACUGAGACACGGCCCAGACUCCUACGGGAGGCAGCAGUGGGGAAUAUUGGACAAUGGGCGAAAGCCUGAUCCAGCAAUGCCGCGUGAGUGAUGAAGGCCUUAGGGUUGUAAAGCUCUUUUACCCGAGAUGAUAAUGACAGUAUCGGGAGAAUAAGCUCCGGCUAACUCCGG